GACCCACUGUGUACAACUGUACACAUUAAACUUCCAAAUCGGUUUAUGAAGACAAAAAAAAUUUACAACGAUUGUGUACGAUUGUGUACAUUAUGUAGUUUCAUUUGUCUAUACGUAUAACUAUCUAUGGCCAAGAAGUUUUUUUUUAAAAACAUUUGAAAGUUGGAGUGUAUUGUUGUUUUGCGAGGUGCUGGAUUGGGAUUUUUCGGGAAGCUAUAUUUAGUAAAUUUUUUCUAUUUUCGUGAGUCAGUUAAUAUUUUUAAGUUACUUUAAAGCUUUAUCUACUACCUGAAAUUCAUUUCCAUUAAUUUUGUAAAUAUUUGAAUUAGUUUUAUUGAAAAAAGUUAAUGUGUACAAUUGUAACCAAACGGCCGUGAGUGAAGCAGUGUCUAGUUCUCAAGCACUGAGCGAGAAUGGCAGAACAUUUCAAAAGGUUUUGAGGACAGAUGCAACUUUCCACACAACCUUGGAGCAAUAGAUGGAAAACAUGUCUGGAUAAUUCCACCAGCUGACAGUGGUGUUUUUUACUACAAUUAUAAGGGUUACAACAGUCUUGUUCUACUAGCGAUCGCAAAUGCUAACUACGAGUUCGUUCUUUGUGAUUUCGGACCAAACGGUCGUGUUUCUGAUGGAGGUGAAAGCAACACAAAUUUCUAUAGAAAACUUGUGAAUGGAGCACUGAAUAUUCCACGACAUGGACGUGUGGGAAAUAGUGAACUAGAUUUACCGUAUGUAUUUGUAGGCGACGAUGCAUUUGCUCAAGCCCUUCAGUUACACUGAUUUGGAUCCUGCUCAUCGCAUUUACAACUACCGCAUUUCAAGAGCACGUAGAAUAAUUGAAAAUGUUUUUGGUAUAUUGGUAGCACGGUUUCGUAUCUUCCACACCCCAAUUAAUAUGGACCUCCAUAAAAUUGAUGAUGUGGUAAUGGCUUGUUGCGUUUUACACCACUACUUGCGUAAAACGUGUCGCACUAGGUAUGCACCGUGUGAAUGUUUGGAUUUUGACGACUCUGACAUAGGUUCAACCACUUUGGGUCUGCGGCCAGAUGUGGAGCAAUUUGUUGAACUUCAGAAUGGAAUGGUCCGCAAUGCAACAAAUGACGCGAAAGCUGUGAGAGACAUGUAUGUUAAGUACUUUAAUACCGAAGGGAAAGUGCCAUGGCAGGACAGUGUUUAAUGACACAAUUCUUCUUUUGGCAAAACCCUGGUGAUUUUUGCAAUGCAUGUUGUGUAUUUUAGUUAAAUUUAUUCAUACAAAUGCAAAAACUAUGGAUAACACUAUCACCAAAUAUGACUUAAGAUACAUCCUACCUCAACGAUUCUUACCUAAAACAUGUUAUCAGCAUCUGUCGUUUAAGCAAUCUUUGUCAUUUGUUACCUGUAAUGUUUUUCACAAACUUUUUCUGUUACCACAUAUAGCCUAUGCAUAAACUUCUGUAAACUUCAUUGUUAAUAAUAAUAUAAACAUAUACAGAAUA